GGAUGAACGCUGGCGGCGUGCCUAACACAUGCUUGUCGAACGGUUAAACCGCCCUCGGGCGGACAUACAGUGGCGAACGGGUGAGUAACACGUGACCAACCUGCCCCGCGCUCCGGGACAACCGCUGGAAACGGCGGCUAAUACCGGAUACUCCGCGGCCCCCGCAUGGGGGCGGCGGGAAAGCCCCGACGGCGCGGGAUGGGGUCGCGGCCCAUUAGGUAGUAGGCGGGGUAGAGGCCCACCUAGCCGACGAUGGGUAGCCGGACUGAGAGGUCGAUCGGCCACAUUGGGACUGAGAUACGGCCCAGACUCCUACGGGAGGCAGCAGUGGGGAAUUUUGCGCAAUGGGGGAAACCCUGACGCAGCAACGCCGCGUGCGGGACGAAGGCCCUCGGGUCGUAAACCGCUUUCAGCAGGGAAGACCACGACGGUACCUGCAGAAGAAGCUCCGGCUAACUACGUGCCAGCAGCCGCGGUAAUACGUAGGGGGCGAGCGUUAUCCGGAUUCAUUGGGCGUAAAGCGCGCGUAGGCGGCCGCCUAAGCGGAACCUCUAACCCCGGGGCUCAACCUCGGGCCGGGUUCCGGACUGGGCGGCUCGAGUGCGGUAGAGGAGAGCGGAAUUCCCGGUGUAGCGGUGGAAUGCGCAGAUAUCGGGAAGAACACCGAUGGCGAAGGCAGCUCUCUGGGCCGUCACUGACGCUGAGGCGCGAAAGCUGGGGGAGCGAACAGGAUUAGAUACCCUGGUAGUCCCAGCCGUAAACGAUGGAUACUAGGUGUGGGGGGGAUCCCCCCUCCGUGCCGCAGCCAACGCAUUAAGUAUCCCGCCUGGGGAGUACGGCCGCAAGGCUAAAACUCAAAGGAAUUGACGGGGGCCCGCACAAGCAGCGGAGCAUGUGGCUUAAUUCGAAGCAACGCGAAGAACCUUACCAGGGCUUGACAUGCGCCUGAAGCCGCGGAGACGCGGUGGCCGAGAGGAGGGCGCGCAGGUGGUGCAUGGCUGUCGUCAGCUCGUGUCGUGAGAUGUUGGGUUAAGUCCCGCAACGAGCGCAACCCCCGUCCCGUGUUGCCAGCAUUAGGUUGGGGACUCGCGGGAGACUGCCGGCGUCAAGCCGGAGGAAGGUGGGGACGACGUCAAGUCAUCAUGCCCCUUAUGCCCUGGGCUGCACACGUGCUACAAUGGCCGGUACAGAGGGUUGCCACCCCGCGAGGGGGAGCGGAUCCCGGAAAGCCGGCCCCAGUUCGGAUCGCAGGCUGCAACCCGCCUGCGUGAAGCCGGAGUUGAUAGUAAUCGCGGAUCAGCACGCCGCGGUGAAUACGUU
rnacentral:rRNA from 1 species